rnacentral:lncRNA from 1 species
UCCAGACCUCAUCACAAGGAGAGUGGCUCCCUCCUUGCCAGAAAUGGGGACACAGGGAGGAUGAGGAGGUGGCCUGGAGGGAGAGGCUCAGCCAGACUGCAGCUGCGUGAGAGUGGGUUCUUGGACCCAGCCGGAAACAGUGCAGGUCUUCAAGUGUCCUGCAUGACUCUGAGCUGUCUGUGGUGGUGCUGAUGGCAGAGGCUGGGCUGGCUCGUGCUUCACACCUGACAGUGGCCUGGAGUGCUCCCCAGGGGUGGCCCAAGCUAUGUCCCAGAGCUUCAGCCAUGAAGGAGGCAGGUUGCUGAGGGUCCACACAUUGCCUUCAGAGAUCCUAACCCCAGGAGCGCACCCUGUAGAAGGAGGAGGCGGGCGAGAGACAGGGAAAUACAAAACCUAACAGGUAAACAAGAUGGAGUCUUGCUCUGUUGUACCUCGGUUGGAGUGCAGUGGUACGAUCUCGGCUCACUGCAACCUCUGCCUCCCGGUUUCAAGCGAUUCUUCCACCUCAGUCUCCCAAGUAGCUGGGAUUACAGGAGCCCGCCACCACGCCAGGCUAAUUUUUUGUAUUUUCAGUAGAGAUGGGGUUUCACCAUGUUGGCCAGGCUGGUCUCAAACUCCCAACCUCAGGUGAUCUGCCCGCCUCGGCCUCCCAAAAUGCUGGGAUUACAGGCAUGAGCCACCAUUCCCGGCCUACUGCUGUUUUCUUUUUGCAAUAAAACAGAAUGUCUGCA